CUCACAGAAAGAAUUAGGAAGAACCAAAAGAUCACUAAGAAGAAACAAAAUCCCAAAUAUAUUUGAUCAGUUCCUCCAUUCGUAAUGACUUAAUCAAAAGUUGCAAUGCAAAAUCCCAAACCACAUGCGCAAGUCAGUGUAUUUCAAAAGUAAGACUUUUUACCUUCAAAAUUGAAGAAUUGAGGUAUGUGAAUUCUUAUUUUGCUCCCCACAAAUCUAAGCACGUGUAGUCGUGAAUCGGGCUCCAGAGAGAGGCAAGACCAUUGUGCGCGAGUUGUGGCGGACCAGGCGAUCCUUCCCCCGGUCCGCCGCAACUCGCGCACCGUGGUCUCCCAGUCCAUUUGUUAGGCGCAGAGGUGUGUGAAGGAACUGAACGAAGAAGAGGCUGUCUGAAGCAGGCGAAUGGCGUGAUUUUUGGGCGAAUGGAUUUAUCGUAAUUACGUGUUUUUUUUUUUUGUAAUUUUUGUAAUUUUUUUUAAAAAGUGUCUUUUGGGUCAUCACAUUCCAGAAGAUUCUGAACGAGGGCCGUAGUGUAAUGGAUAAAAUAGCUCCUGCGAAUGGGCUGGUUAUUAAGCGCUUGUUUGUGAUUGCGGGGGGGAAAUAGAACUUUUGUCAAACGAGUUUUUAUCUGUGAGCCUUUGACAAAAGUGCUAUUGUUAAAAAACUGUUUACUUGUUUAAUAACUAUAUAUUCUAAGUACUUUUUGAAUGUUAAUCAUAUUUGGUAACAAAAUUAAAAAGUACUUUUAAUUGUAAAAAUGACAAAAAAAGACAUUAUGCCUAAAACAACAUAUUGCACAAAAUUCAAAAUGGAUAUGUAAUUUUUUUUUUUCCAUUUAAUAGCAUUUUUUUAUAUAUAUAAAUGAUUAAUGUGAACUUUUUACAGUUUUAAUGGUUUAAUAUCUUAAUAGUUUCUAAGCUAUAAACAAAAGUUCAAUAUUAAUAUCUUAUUCCGAUGUGUGAGAGGGGAGAAAAAAAAUUGAAAGAGGAAUUUUGUCUCUCUCUCCAAAUCCAAGUAUGUCUAACAUGAUAUUUGGUGUAGAUGAAGAUAUGUUACACGUAGCCUGAGUCAAACAAGAAAGUUUUUUUUUUUUCAAAAAAUCGGUUUUGUUUGGCAAAACUUGCUGCCGAAGAUAUAAUUUUAUUUUCUUUUUUUAGAAACCCAAGCAACUUUGUAUAUUAUUAUUCAAAUGCAAAAGGAAAAAAAAAAAAGAAGAAAAAAGUAUGCUGAGAGAUCUUCUUGUACAAGACGGUGAUAUGACAGUACAACCCACUUUUUGUCGCCUAUUAUACACCUUCAUCAUUUCAUCUGCAGGUGGUCACAUGGGUUCAAACAGACUUCUUUUUUCAAUUUAUUGAAAAUCACAACUAACAUUCUCACACACACUCAUUUAUAAACCCUCGUCUCUCUCAACUUUGUUCUAUACAUCUUCUCUACAGACACAGCCAUUUUAGAACAGCACACAGCCAUUGCUACGUCAAGGAGAAGCGGUCGAGAACCCCAAAGAAUCAUCUCUCUUUCUCUCUCUUGUUAUCUGCUUUGAGUCCAUACGUUAAUGGCGACAGAGACCCAAAAUACCAAGUGGAAGCAAAAACAUUAUAUAGAAAUUAAAAGUGAAAUCGGGCUUACCGCAGUGUCCAACUCUCAAAUUCCCAACUCUCAAAUAGGCGAUGAGACUCACCGGCUCUCAAAUU
rnacentral:precursor_RNA from 1 species